rnacentral:rRNA from 1 species
GACGAACGCUGGCGGCGUGCUUAACACAUGCAAGUCGAGCGGAAAGGCCCUUCGGGGUACUCGAGCGGCGAACGGGUGAGUAACACGUGAGUAAUCUGCCCUGCACUCUGGGAUAGCCUUGGGAAACUGAGAUUAAUACCGGAUAUGUUCACUUCCCGCAUGGGAUGGUGGUGGAAAGUUUUUCGGUGCAGGAUGUGCUCGCGGCCUAUCAGCUUGUUGGUGGGGUAAUGGCCUACCAAGGCUUCGACGGGUAGCCGGCCUGAGAGGGUGACCGGCCACACUGGGACUGAGAAACGGCCCAGACUCCUACGGGAGGAAGCAGUGGGGAAUAUUGCGGAAUGGGGGAAACCCUGACGCAGCGACGCCGCGUGGGUGAUGAAGGCCUUCGGGUCGUAAAGCCCUGUCGGAGGGAAAGAAAGGGUGAGUAGCUAAUACCUAUUCACAUUGACGGUACCCUCAGAGGAAGCACCGGCUAACUCCGUGCCAGCAGCCGCCGUAA